GGAUUACAGAGGUCUUUCAGAGUUGGCUAAAAGGUAGAGAAAACAUUAAGGAAAUUGAGGAAUCUUGACACCUGAAACAAUGGAGGAGGUUGGAUUUGGCCAAAGUUUCUAGCUUCUACUUUGCAAGUAUCCCAGAGUAAAGAAUGCAAAGAGCCUUGCUACCUUGGAGAAUAUGGACAAAACCCCUCAAUGAAUAGCUCACAAUAUGAUUCUGACACAAUAUCCUGUUAUAUAGUUGUACAGUAUUUUGGCUGAGACUAGGAUCCCCAGAUGUUGGAAGAUAUGCAUCUAUCAAGGAAAGAGGAAAAACUAACUUUUAAGAUGGGCUGUGUGGAGUUUCUAGAACUGUCCUGUAUCCACGAUGUUGAAGGUUGUUCAUUAAGUCUAGCAGAAAAGAAGAAAGGAAAACCCGGGUUGUACAUGGGGUGCUUGGCUACUAUAUCAACCUAGUCUACUUCUCUCCAGACUUCUAUGUGAGCAAAAUAAUCCACUUUAUUUACCUGCAGUCAAACUCAGUUCUGAUUGGAUACAAAGUAAGAAUAAGUGUUUUUGCCCUAAUCUCAAAAAAGAUGUCAUGGUUAGGGAAAGGGAAAAGAGUGUCAGAG
rnacentral:lncRNA from 1 species